AGAGUUUGAUCCUGGCUCAGGAUGAACGCUGGCGGUCUGCUUAACACAUGCAAGUCGAACGAAUCCCUUCGGGGAUGAGUGGCGGACGGGUGAGUAACGCGUGAGAAUCUACCAAAAGGACUGGGACAACCACUGGAAACGGUGGCUAAUACCGGAUGAGCCGCAACGUAAAAGAGGAAACUCGCCUUUUGAAGAGCUCGCGUCUGAUUAGCUAGUUGGUGAGGUAAAGGCUCACCAAGGCGGCGAUCAGUAGCUGGUCUGAGAGGAUGAUCAGCCACACUGGGACUGAGACACGGCCCAGACUCCUACGGGAGGCAGCAGUAGGGAAUUUUCCGCAAUGGGCGAAAGCCUGACGGAGCAAGACCGCGUGAGGGAGGAAGGCUCUUGGGUUGUAAACCUCUUUUGUCAGGGAAGAACACAAUGACGGUACCUGAAGAAUCAGCAUCGGCUAACUCCGUGCCAGCAGCCGCGGUAAUACGGAGGAUGCAAGCGUUAUCCGGAAUUAUUGGGCGUAAAGCGUCCGCAGGUGGCACUUCAAGUCUGCUGUCAAAGACCGGGGCUUAACCCUGGAAAGGCAGUGGAAACUGAAGCGCUAGAGUGUGGCAGGGGUAGAGGGAAUUCCCGGUGUAGCGGUGAAAUGCGUAGAGAUCGGGAAGAACAUCGGUGGCGAAAGCGCUCUACUGGGCCACAACUGACACUCAGGGACGAAAGCUAGGGGAGCGAAUGGGAUUAGAUACCCCAGUAGUCC
rnacentral:rRNA from 1 species